rnacentral:rRNA from 1 species
GAUGAACGCUGGCAGAAUGCUUAACACAUGCAAGUCAACUUGAAUUUGGGUUUUUAACUUAGAUUUGGGUGGCGGACGGGUGAGUAACGCGUAAAGAACUUGCCUCACAGCUAGGGACAACAUUUAGAAAUGAAUGCUAAUACCUAAUAUUAUGAUAAUAGGGCAUCCUAUAAUUAUGAAAGCUAUAUGCGCUGUGAGAGAGCUUUGCGUCCCAUUAGCUAGUUGGAGAGGUAACGGCUCACCAAGGCGAUGAUGGGUAGCCGGCCUGAGAGGGUGAUCGGCCACAAGGGGACUGAGACACGGCCCUUACUCCUACGGGAGGCAGCAGUGGGGAAUAUUGGACAAUGGACCGAGAGUCUGAUCCAGCAAUUCUGUGUGCACGAUGAAGUUUUUCGGAAUGUAAAGUGCUUUCAGUUGGGAAGAAAGAAAUGACGGUACCAACAGAAGAAGUGACGGCUAAAUACGUGCCAGCAGCCGCGGUAAUACGUAUGUCACGAGCGUUAUCCGGAUUUAUUGGGCGUAAAGCGCGUCUAGGUGGUUAUAUAAGUCCGAUGUGCAAAUCCGGGCUCAACUCUGUUUGCGUUGUUCUCUGUAUCCUAUAUUACUGGGAGAUAAGCUGACUACUCGUAUUGAGUUCAAUUCUCAAACACUCACAAAGAGCAAA